GCAGUGGUGGUUCAGUGGUAGACUUCUCCCCUUCUAUGCGGGAGGCCCAGGUUCAAUUCCUGGCCAAUGCA
rnacentral:tRNA from 1 species